rnacentral:rRNA from 1 species
UACGAAGGGUGCAAGCGUUACUCGGAAUUACUGGGCGUAAAGCGUGCGUAGGUGGUUUGUUAAGUCUGCUGUGAAAGCCCCGGGCUCAACCUGGGAAUGGCAGUGGAUACUGGCGAGCUAGAGUGUGAUAGAGGAUGGUGGAAUUCCCGGUGUAGCGGUGAAAUGCGUAGAGAUCGGGAGGAACACCAGUGGCGAAGGCAGCUCGCUGGGACGUGACUGACGCUGAGACGCGAAAGCGUGGGGAGCAAACAGG